UACGGAGGGGGCAAGCGUUAUUCGGAAUUAUUGGGCGUAAAGGGCGCGUAGGCGGCUAGAUGUGUCAAAGGUGAAAUCCCUCGGCUCAACUGAGGAACUGCCUUUGAAACUGUCUGGCUUGAGGCCGGGAGAGGGUAGCGGAAUUCCCAGUGUAGCGGUGAAAUGCGUAGAUAUUGGGAGGAACACCAGUGGCGAAGGCGACUUUCUGGGCUGUAACUGACGCUGAGGCGCGAAAGCGUGGGGAGCAAACAGG
rnacentral:rRNA from 1 species